rnacentral:sRNA from 1 species
UGUAGUAGACGAAUCAGAUAAACUGUUUGAAGAUGGCAAAACUGGGUUCAGAGACCAGCUGGCUUCCAUUUUCCUGGCCUGCACAUCCCACAAGGUCCGAAGAGCUAUGUUCAGUGCAACUUUUGCAUAUGAUGUUGAACAGUGGUGCAAACUCAACCUGGACAAUGUCAUCAGUGUGUCCAUUGGAGCAAGGAAUUCUGCAGUAGAAACUGUAGAACAAGAGCUUCUCUUUGUUGGAUCUGAGACUGGAAAACUUCUGGCCAUGAGAGAACUUGUUAAAAAGGUAUAUUUGUAUUACCUUCUUGAAUUUUGGUAAAGUUUGCCAAGUCUUAUAUUACUGGUGGGAGGCUAUUACAGUGGUAGCACUGUAUCAUCAUCAUCUUGCCUCAUAUUCAGUAAUCCACUGGUAAAUUGAUAAGCAAGUACAUUGUGCUAACUAUAUGAUCAUCCUGCAUCGUAUUUAGUAAUCUAGGAGUAAAUUGUUAAGAAGCACGUUGUCCUAACUCUUAUCCCAAGGGACAGAAGCUUGCCUCUCAGAAUAUGGUAAGUUGUCUUUUCGCAGCUCAGAUUAG